GUUUUGGUGGUAGCUUCAUUUCCCUUCUCUUAACUGCAGUGGGAUUUCACCCGUGCCUUCCCCUGAAGAGUCAGUUCCUACAGUAGAGAUGGGAUGGAUUAGGUCCAGGUGGACUUUGGCAGUGGCUGCUGUUACUCUCCUGCAGCCAGCACCAAGGAGGAAGCCUUCUGUGGAUUCUCACUGAUCUUCCCUGAAAGAAUCAUGUGGGGUUUUGGAAAAGAUGCUGUAGGAACCACAGAUUACAUGCCAUUUCUACAGCCUGUGUCUCAGAGGCAGGAUAACACGGUGGUUACAAGGACAGACACCGAAGCCAGAAACGCAGCCCUCCACCCCCAUUCAGUAACUCCCUGACCGCAAAGUAAAUAAAGUCUCUGGGCUCCUGCUUCCUCAUCUAUAAAAUGAAUCGUGAGAGCACCAAUGUCAACAGACUGUCACAAGCGUGAGAAGAAUUGUAACUGAAGGCUUUAGAACUGUGACUGAGAAGGAUCAGCAUCUCGGAAUAAAUAGCCACCGUGAUCCUCAGCAGGCUCACAGCUGAACCCCAGGGAAAGGAUCCUGAUAGGAGUAUCCACCUGCUUGUGGGAACAUCCACUGCCCCCCAGGCGGAUCUGAGGCCUGUGCAAAAGGAAGCGUGCUGCUUGGGCUGUAACAUGACCCUACAGAGUGGGAAGAUUUAUAAUUCUCCUUUCCAGAGCAGGAGGUGUGAGCUCAUCCCACAUUCUCCUCCAAUAAGUGUGAAGUAAAUGAAUGCUAAACUUCAGGAUGGCCUGACAGAAUUGAAGAAGCAUGGGAUAUGAAAUGUAAAAAGUUUUUUUUCUAUGCCUCAAAUUAUUCCUAUUAAAGUGGAAAAAAUAGA